rnacentral:rRNA from 1 species
UACGUAGGGGGCAAGCGUUGUCCGGAUUUAUUGGGCGUAAAGCGCUCGCAGGUGGUUUGUCGCGUCGUGCGUGAAAGACCCCGGCUCAACUGGGGAGGGUCGUGCGAUACGGGCGAACUGGAGGCCAGUAGGGGGAUGCGGAAUUCCGGGUGUAGUGGUGGAAUUCGUAGAUAUUCGCAAGAACACCAGUGGCGAAGGCGGCUCACUGGCCCGGUACUGACGCUGAGGUGCGAAAGCGUGGGGAGCAAACAGG